rnacentral:miRNA from 1 species
GGUUUCUCUGUAUAGCCCUUGGCUGUCCUGGAACUCACUCUGUAGACCAGGCUGGCCUUGAACUCACAGAGAUCCACCUGCCUCUGCCUCCCGAGUGCUGGGAUUAAAGGUGUACGCCACCAUUGCCUG